rnacentral:rRNA from 1 species
CCUACGGGAGGCAGCAGUGGGGAAUAUUGGACAAUGGGCGAAAGCCUGAUCCAGCAAUGCCGCGUGAGUGAUGAAGGCCUUAGGGUUGUAAAGCUCUUUUACCAGGGAUGAUAAUGACAGUACCUGGAGAAUAAGCUCCGGCUAACUCCGUGCCAGCAGCCGCGGUAAUACGGAGGGAGCUAGCGUUGUUCGGAAUUACUGGGCGUAAAGCGUGCGUAGGCGGUGAUUCAAGUCAGAGGUGAAAGCCUGGAGCUCAACUCCAGAACGGCCUUUGAAACUAGAUCGCUAGAAUUAUGGAGAGGUAAGUGGAAUUCCGAGUGUAGAGGUGAAAUUCGUAGAUAUUCGGAAGAACACCAGUGGCGAAGGCGACUUACUGGACAUAUAUUGACGCUGAGGUACGAAAGCGUGGGGAGCAAACAGGAUUAGAUACCCUGGUAGUCCACGCCGUAAACGAUGAUAACUAGCUGUUCGGGCUCUCAGAGCUUGAGUGGCGCAGCUAACGCAUUAAGUUAUCCGCCUGGGGAGUACGGUGCAAGNUUAAACCUUAAGGAAUUGACGGCUUGAGACCGNGCGAGAGACGACGAGGAGAG